rnacentral:rRNA from 1 species
AGACUGGAAUUCCUGGUGUAGCGGUGAAAUGCGCAGAUAUCAGGAGGAACACCGAUGGCGAAGGCAGGUCUCUGGGCAGUUACUGACGCUGAGGAGCGAAAGCAUGGGUAGCGAACAGGAUUAGAUACCCUGGUAGUCCAUGCCGUAAACGGUGGGCGCUAGGUGUGAGUCCCUUCCACGGGGUUCGUGCCGUAGCUAACGCAUUAAGCGCCCCGCCUGGGGAGUACGGCCGCAAGGCUAAAACUCAAAGGAAUUGACGGGGGCCCGCACAAGCGGCGGAGCAUGUGGGAUUAAUUCGAUGCAACGCGAAGAACCUUACCUGGGCUUGACAUAUACAGGAUUGCUGCAGAGAUGUAGUUUCCCUUGUGGCUUGUAUACAGGUGGUGCAUGGUUGUCGUCAGCUCGUGUCGUGAGAUGUUGGGUUAAGUCCCGCAACGAGCGCAACCCUUGUCUUAUGUUGCCAGCACGUUAUGGUGGGGACUCAUGAGAGACUGCCGGGGUCAACUCGGAGGAAGGUGGGGAUGACGUCAAAUCAUCAUGCCCCUUAUGUCCAGGGCUUCACACGUGCUACAAUGGUCGGUACAAUGCGCAGCGACACUGUGAGGUGGAGCGAAUCGCUGAAAGCCGGUCUUAGUUCGGAUUGGGGUCUGCAACUCGACCCCAUGAAGUUGGAGUCGCUAGUAAUCGCAGAUUCAGCAAUGCUGCGGUGAAUACGUCCCG